GACGAACGCUGGCGGCGUGCUUAACACAUGCAAGUCGAACGGAAAGGCCCAGCUUUUGUGGGGUGCUCGAGUGGCGAACGGGUGAGUAACACGUGAGUAACCUGCCCUUGCCUUUGGGAUAACUUCAUGAAACUAGGGCUAAUACCGGAUAGGAACUCCUACUGCAGGGUGGGGGUAGGAAAGUAUCGGCGGUGGGGGAUGGACGCGCGGCUUAUCCGCUUGUUGGUGGGGUAGUGGUUUACAAAGGCUUUGACGGGUAGCCGGCCUGAGAGGGUGGCCGGCCACCAUGGGCCUGCGGGAGGGCGCAGUCUGCUACGGGAGGCAGUAGUGGGGAGUAUUGCACAGUGGGCGGAAGCCUAAUGCAGCAACUCCGCGUUCGUGAUGACGGCCUUCGGGUGGUAAACCGCUUGCGCAUGUGACGAAGCGUGAGUGACGGUAAUGUGUCAAGAAGCACCGGCUAACUACGUG
rnacentral:rRNA from 1 species